rnacentral:rRNA from 1 species
CCUACGGGUGGCAGCAGUGGGGAAUAUUGGACAAUGGGGGGAACCCUGAUCCAGCCAUGCCGCGUGUGUGAAGAAGGCCCUCGGGCUGUAAAGCACUUUCAGUGAGGAAGAACGCCUGGUGGUUAAUACCCAUCAGGAAAGACAUCACUCACAGAAGAAGCACCGGCUAACUCCGUGCCAGCAGCCGCGGUAAUACGGAGGGUGCGAGCGUUAAUCGGAAUUACUGGGCGUAAAGCGCGCGUAGGUGGCUUGAUAAGCCGGUUGUGAAAGCCCCGGGCUCAACCUGGGAACGGCAUCCGGAACUGUCAAGCUAGAGUGCAGGAGAGGAAGGUAGAAUUCCCGGUGUAGCGGUGAAAUGCGUAGAGAUCGGGAGGAAUACCAGUGGCGAAGGCGGCCUUCUGGACUGACACUGACACUGAGGUGCGAAAGCGUGGGUAGCAAACAGGAUUAGAUACCCCAGUAGUC